rnacentral:rRNA from 1 species
GACGUAGGGCGCGAGCGUUGUCCGGAUUUAUUGGGCGUAAAGAGCUCGUAGGCGGCUCGUUGCGUCGGCUGUGAAAACCCGCAGCUCAACUGUGGGCUUGCAGCCGAUACGGGCGGGCUAGGAUUCGGUAGGGGAGUCUGGAAUUCCUGGUGUAGCGGUGAAAUGCGCAGAUAUCAGGAGGAACACCGGUGGCGAAGGCGGGACUCUGGGCCGAUACUGACGUGAGGAGCGAAAGCGUGGGGAGCGAACAGG